rnacentral:lncRNA from 1 species
GAUGAAAAAAAUAAAGAAUAAACAAUAAUAAUGAAAUUACUAUAGUAGACUUCCAAAAAGGUCUACUAUGCUACAAUAAAAUCUACUCCAAAGUUUUAAUUUUGGUAGACUUCACAGUGUCGUAAUUUUUUAACUUAGUUACAUUUUUGUCAUCCUAUAUAACUAAAAUUUAUACAAUCUCUUUCGAAAAUGGCUGCACAAGAUUUUAAAAUUUUCU